rnacentral:rRNA from 1 species
GACGAACGCUGGCGGCGUGCCUAAUACAUGCAAGUCGACCUUAGUGGCGAACGGGUGAGUAACACGGGGGUAACCUGCCCAUCAGAAGGGGAAAACACUUGGAAACAGGUGCUAAUACCGUAUACUGAUGGAUGGAACCGCGGUGCAUGAGCACGUUGGUGAGGUAACGGCUCACAAAGGCCACGAUGCAUAGCUGGCCCAAGAGGGUGACCGGCCACCUUGGGACUGAGACACGGCCCAAACUCCUACGGGAGGCAGCAGUAGGGAAUCUUCGGCAAUGGACGAAAGUCUGACCGAGCAACGCCGCGUGAGUGAAGAAGGUUUUCGGAUCGUAAAACUCUGUUGUUAGAGAAGCGGUAUCUAACCAGAAAGCCACGGCUAACUUCGUGCCAGCCGCCGCGGUAAUUC